AAGCGGCAGAGUCCCGUAUGGAGGUUCUUUGAGUACAAACACCUGCACACGACCACAAGGUUUGCCACGUUUACCACUAUGGUGGUGAUGGACUCAGUCAGGAACAGGUCAAAGCAGGAUUUGAUCAUCAAUCCAGGAUACAGCAUAUUGUAUGCUGAAGGCCAGUGGAGGUGACUGGGUGCCUUUGGUGGUGGGAUUUACUUCUGUGUGCUGUGGACAUCUAUGCAUCCCUGGUUUAAGCUCACCUUAGUAUGUGUGGGUGUGAAUUGGUGAUUCUUUGGACUUCUCUCCAUCUGGCAUCCCAUUCUC